rnacentral:lncRNA from 1 species
GGCUUUCUCAAAGUGCUUUCUAAUGUAACAAGAUAGAUAUUAGUGGUAAGCAAAUGGAACAGCCUUUAUAUUGCUCAUACCCUGCCUUGGAUUUUUUUUCUUAAGAGUGUGAGUGCUGUGAGGAUGUUCAUGUCUCUGAAAUCUAAAUAUGCCUUGGGAUCCGUAUAUUUAUUUUGGAAGUCAGCACUAGUAGCAAACCAACAUCCUGGUGAAACUCUUGGUAUAAACUUCUAAUCCAUUUAGGUUCCAGGAUUUUAUGAGCCACAGAACAACUUCACUGCGAGAGCUUCACUGGGGAGCAUGACCAGUUUAGGUCUGUCUGUAUCCUGUGGAUGGCUCUUCAGGCAAAAAAAGGAUAUUGCUAAUUCUAAAGGACUCCACGGAGCCUCUCCCUGGAUCGUUACUUGGUCACACUCAUUAGAACUUGAGAUGAGACCUAUUGAGGUGAGUUAACAUCCUCUUGGAACAGCAGGUGCUUUGGCAUUUCACAUGUCAUGUGGGUCAAGA